CCCUCGCGCGAUUGGAGCGGCCGAUGUCGGAUUAGCUAGUUGGUAGGGUAAAAGGCCUACCAAGGCGACGAUCCGUAGCGGGUCUGAGAGGAUGAUCCGCCACACUGGGACUGAGACACGGCCCAGACUCCUACGGGAGGCAGCAGUGGGGAAUUUUGGACAAUGGGCGAAAGCCUGAUCCAGCCAUGCCGCGUGAGUGAAGAAGGCCUUCGGGUUGUAAAGCUCUUUCAGCCGGAAAGAAAUCGCGCAGGAUAAUACUCUGCGUGGAUGACGGUACCGGAAGAAGAAGCACCGGCUAACUACGUGCCAGCAGCCGCGGUAAUACGUAGGGUGCGAGCGUUAAUCGGAAUUACUGGGCGUUAAAGCGUGCGCAGGCGGUUAUGUAAGACAGAUGUGAAAUCCCCGGGCUUCAAACCCUGGGAACUGCGUUUGUGACUUGCAUAACUAGAGUACGGCAGAGGGAGGUGGAAUUCCGCGUGUAGCAGUGAAAUGCGUAGAUUAUGUCGGAGGAACACCGAUGGC
rnacentral:rRNA from 1 species